GGACAACAGCCAGGGAAGAGGAAAUGGGAAUCGUGAGAACCAAACCAAGGGGCUUCUCUCCCAGGCUAAUAUUAUUAUGCCUCCCUUAUAUUAGUCGUGGGAGUGAUGAAAGCUGCGCUCCCGGCCUCAAAGUUCUCCUCAAGUCAAACCACUAAGCUCCUGCUGAUCCAGUUCCCACUGACUCAUGGGAGGACUGCCCUCAGAAAAGGAAACUCAAGCCCCCAGAACUUGGCACAAACUGAUAUGGUUUCUGGCUCCUUGACUGGACCCUGGCUGACACAGAAUGAAACACAAUCUUCGCAUCACAGUGAGAGGGACCCCAGAGAGGCCCAUGCCCCACUUCACUCCAGCAGGAGUCCAGACCUGUGACCUCGCACAACAGCUUUCUCAGUGGUGAGGGGUGUGGGGACUUCGUUCCAUUUCUUCCUGGGUUUGUAAAGAACAUUGUGGUCCCAGAUUUUUGUCUGAUUCCAGUUUUCUCAUUUUGAAACAGAGUGUGUGGUGGGUUCUGUGGGAUGUCGCCCUGGUCCCCGCUCCAGGACUGAGAGUCAAAGAAGGAAAGAGAAGUAACGUGUGUUUGAACCAGUUUCCCUUUCCAGCGAUUGUCACUCCACUCCAUCAUGCCUCCCCAGUGUUCUGAUACCAUUGGACAGAAAGUCAACCUACCUACAGCUAGAAUCUCUGGAGGAGAGCUGCUUCGUUGGCUGCUGUAUCCACCAGGACCUAACCUGAGCAGUGCCGAGCGUGGUGGAAUGACGUGCAGACUACUGUACAUACCAGAAGGGUCACUCAUCCACUGUUUAUCAUGAGCAAAACUGGAAACAAUCUAAUUCUCUAACAAAUAAAUUAUGACAUGUGUG